GGGGAUGUAGCUCAGUGGUAGAGCGCAUGCUUUGCAUGUAUGAGGCCCCGGGUUCCAAACCCGGCAUCUCCA
rnacentral:tRNA from 1 species